rnacentral:rRNA from 1 species
GACGAACGCUGGCGGCAGGCUUAACACAUGCAAGUCGAGCGCCCCGCAAGGGGAGCGGCAGACGGGUGAGUAACGCGUGGGAAUCUACCCAUCUCUACGGAAUAACGCAUGGAAACGUGUGCUAAUACCGUAUACGUCCUUCGGGAGAAAGAUUUAUCGGAGAUGGAUGAGCCCGCGUUGGAUUAGCUAGUUGGUGGGGUAAAGGCCUACCAAGGCGACGAUCCAUAGCUGGUCUGAGAGGAUGAUCAGCCACACUGGGACUGAGACACGGCCCAGACUCCUACGGGAGGCAGCAGUGGGGAAUAUUGGACAAUGGGCGCAAGCCUGAUCCUGCCAUGCCGCGUGAGUGAUGAAGGCCCUAGGGUUGUAAAGCUCUUUCACCGGUGAAGAUAAUGACGGUAACCGGAGAAGAAGCCCCGGCUAACUUCGUGCCAGCAGCCGCCGUGAUAC